ACGAAAGCGUGGGGAGCAAACAGGAUUAGAUAGCCUGGUAGUCCACGCCCUAAACGAUGUCUACUAGUUGUCGGGUUUUAAUUAACUUGGUAACGCAGCUAACGCGUGAAGUAGACCGCCUGGGGAGUACGGUCGCAAGAUUAAAACUCAAAGGAAUUGACGGGGACCCGCACAAGCGGUGGAUGAUGUGGAUUAAUUCGAUUGCAACGCGAAAAACCUUACCUACCCUUGACAUGUACGGAAUGCCGAAGAGAUUUGGCAGUGCUCGAAAGAGAACCGUAACACAGGUGCUGCAUGGCUGUCGUCAGCUCGUGUCGUGAGAUGUUGGGUUAAGUCCCGCAACGAGCGCAACCCUUGUCAUUAGUUGCUACAUUCAGUUGAGCACUCUAAUGAGACUGCCGGUGACAAACCGGAGGAAGGUGGGGAUGACGUCAAGUCCUCAUGGCCCUUAUGGGUAGGGCUUCACACGUCAUACAAUGGUACAUACAGAGGGCCGCCAACCCGCGAGGGGGAGCUAAUCCCAGAAAGUGUAUCGUAGUCCGGAUCGUAGUCUGCAACUCGACUACGUGAAGUUGGAAUCGCUAGUA
rnacentral:rRNA from 1 species